rnacentral:rRNA from 1 species
UGGGGAAUCUUGCACAAUGGGGGCAACCCUGAUGCAGCGACGCCGCGUGAGCGAUGAAGGUUUUCGAAUCGUAAAGCUCUGUCCUAUGGGAAGAUAAUGACGGUACCAUAGGAGGAAGCCCCGGCUAACUACGUGCCAGCAGCCGCGGUAAUACGUAGGGGGCAAGCGUUGUCCGGAAUCACUGGGCGUAAAGGGUUCGCAGGCGGAAAUGCAAGUCAGUUGUGAAAGGCAGAGGCUCAACCUCUGUAAGCAAUUGAAACUGUAUUUCUUGAGAUGUGGAGAGGCAAGUGGAAUUCCUAGUGUAGCGGUGAAAUGCGUAGAUAUUAGGAAGAAUACCGGUGGCGAAGGCGACUUGCUGGACACAAACUGACGCUGAGGAACGAAAGCGUGGGUAGCAAACAGG